UGAGAGCUGUGCCAAAGACAUAGCUCAAAACAAUACAGCUGUAGCCAGAAAGCUGUACAGUGGGUGAACUGUUCUCAAUUCCUAUGCAUGUCUUCCAUCUCAAACCUUCAUCCUAUUUAAGUGCCUCAGGAAGAGAUAGCAAAGAAUCUCUUUCUCUUUUUUUUUUUCUGGAAAUCAAAUACAGAGGACUUGAAAGAGAAAAAGUUAAGUAUUGUAAGCAAUCCAGAAGGAGCAAACCAGGACCCACUUAUGAAUCUCCUCCCGUAAGGAUGGCUGAAAACCUCUAACUUGUAGAAGCUUGUGUGCACAUUCUGCGUCCUGACACAACAUAAUGGUUAAACGCUUCAUGGACCUUUAAGACCUGUUACUUGGUGCAUAGCUGGAUAUGCAAGAGUUGGCUCAGUGGAUGCUAAUUUGAAAUCACUGCUCUCAAUUUUAUAACAGUAAGCAGUCAGCUAAUCUCACAAACAUCAGCCUUUGCAGAAGUCUUCCAUAUAUUUCCACCGCAAACUAGGAGUUUAAUAAGCAAUUAGUUGCUGAAAUGAUGCAUAGCUAUCUGUGGUCACCAUUUAAAGACAUUGCAACAAAGUCAAUUCAGAAGAAGAAAGUUGAGCUGGUGAAUAUUUCUAAGUGAAGAAAAAAAAAAACUUGAGCUACUUGUUGGAAAGGACAGCAACACAGCACACUCCCAUGAUGUCCUUGAGGAGUGGUGAUGGGAAACAAUAAAAAGACAAACACCAGCAGCAUUUUGUUCUGCAGAGGCUGGUAUGAAGUUAAUCAAAGCUUCCCAAAGACUUAUGUCCAAGGUGGCAGUUUCUCUUUGCAGUCGAGGCGCCAGAUCCCAACAUGCCAGAGGUUGUGCUGAAAAUCAGGACUUGGGGCUCUUCCUUUGCUGAGAAGAUAAAGUGGCAACUCUUGUGAAAUCCCACCCCUGCUUCACCAGCUGAAUGAAGUCCAAAAACUUGAUGCUUCAAACAUUUCACAGAGAUGGAAAAAAUACGAGAGCCAAAAAGAUUGUUAAAAAGAAUCCACAGUGAGGAAGACGGGAAUGCUAUCUGUGGUUCUCAUAUGAGGAAGAGCAAGAACAGAUGCAUUUUUUCCGCACACUCGGAACCUCAACUUGCAAGAAGUAGUGAAGGUUUGUGUAGAACUGGGGAUGACAACUGAACGCAAGUAGUCACCAGCAAAACACAGAAAACAUGACUGUUGGUGCCACAGCUUUGCCAGCUGGUAAGGGACUUUUCCAUGUCUCCACCUUGGAGAGAAGAGUGUGGUGUGCUCUGAUUUGAAUGAAGAAACAGGAUCAUUGUGGUCUGUUUUCCCCAUCCUUUGAGCCAUCCCAAUGCAGGAACCAAGAGAAGAAAUCUCAUUCUUUCUCUUCUGCCCUUGAAAAAGGAAUAGGUAAAAUUGGACUGUAGUCUUAGAAAAUCAAACCUCGCCUUGUGGAUGAAUCACUGCCAUUGAUGCUGGGAGAAGGGAAUGAAUAUCCCUCAAACAAAGGAUUUUAUAGGAUGCUAAUAUACAGGAUAGAGGAUAUGCCAAAAAUCUGUGUGGGUCAAAAAGUGACUGGAAGGAAGAAAAGAAUCCACCAAAGAAAAUCCUUAGAGGAAAAUUCUGUCACAUAGAAAGAUUUCACCUCAGCUUCAGCGGAUCCUUGAACCACAAAUAGCUGCAGGCUGGGAAAGUAUUCUGGGGAAUAUGGUUGUGUUCUGUAAAUAUUGGCUGUGGGCAAUGUUGAAGGACGUGAGACUACGUGCAUGUUCAUUUUGAGCUGGACCAGCCAUUCUUGUGUAUCUGUUAUUUGUGUGUUUUCAAAAAGAAAAAAAAAAGAAAAAAAAAGAAAAGCUCUCUGAGAGACACUUCUCUCUUUCUAUUUUUUGUUAUUCCAAUCCAGUCUGUUUUCGGGGCCAGGGAGGGAGACACUGGAGGAUCUCAGUGCCCCUAGGCAGAUGGCGAAUGAGGGAGAAGUGCCUGCGGGGCUGAGGCUGGCGGCGUCUCUUUCAGACCAACAUGCCUUGGUCCCCCUGCAGCUGGGAAGAGCACAGAGCUUGUUAGUAAGGUACAGGUGUCAGCAGAUAAUGAACAGGAUUGUUGUAAAAAAACAAAACAAACAAAAAAACAUGGAAUAAGAAACAAUUUAUUUAUGAUGUAUUGACAAGGAUAUGGAAAAAAUCCCAAGAGACCAUAACAGGAAGACACAAUAUCAUGGCUAAUAACAUGCUAAAUAAAUUUUAUUUUAUGAUGAAACCUCCCUAUGACUGGAAAGGUUGACGUUCAAAACAAUUGUGACCUGUGUGCAGCACAUGUAGCAACAGGCAUGGCUCCUGCCUUCUCGCGGUGGGGCUGUCCAAGAAGCACAACGAUGCCUUUGGGAAAUACAGCUGCAGGCAUGAGCUGUGUUUUCCCCAGUAGAUCAAUUUUUCUAACUUUAGAACAAUGAAAGAGGCAUAACAUAUUAUAAAUUGAAAUUACCCUGCAUGGUUUUAACUGUGCAGUUGGCAAAGGUCAUUAAGUAAUGUCAUUCCCAGCCAUACGCCACAGGGAGCAAUCUAUCAUAUAUUAUCUAGCAUUCUGAUGGAAGUAAAAAAUGAUUAAUUUUUACCAUCUCAUGUAUAAUUUACUUAUUAAUGUUCCUUGCGAGACAAUCUGGUCUUGAUUAUUUGGCUAAUGCAUACUGAAUCUGAGCUUUGUAUUUUUCUUUGAAGAGAUUAGGGCAGUUAUUGUUUUUUUUUGCGAACCAUGGACAUUUGAGAUCCAGAGUAAUAAAGUAGGUAUUGAAUAGCAUUCAAUAGAAGAGAAAGAAAAAUAUAAUGCUGAAAUGGAUCAUGACUGUUCAGGAUGCUUAUGAGAUUCUCACACAUCCCAUCCCAAAGUGCAAAAGUAUCCAUUCACCAAAGCCUAAACUGAGAUGUCUUUAGCUUUAUUUUACUUUCUCUAGUUUUUGUUCAAGCUCUAAAAAACAUUUCAUUUUAUACUUGAAUAUAAGCAUGGUUUAGUCAGAUUACUUGAGUUUUCAUCAAAACAAGCAUGUAAUAAAUUAGGACUUUUUCAUUUUAAAACCUGAAAUGCAUCCUGGUUGAUAUGAGGACAAGGACUGUGUGGUUGCUGAAGUAUGUUGUCAGUUUUUGGCCUUCAAGGGCUAAAUCAUGUUUUGAGAUAAAUGAUGCUCUUCAAAGUAAUCCAUAUUGAGUACUGUGAGUUCUACAUAGUUUUAGUUAGAGUUCAUUUAUAAUAAUAAGAAGCACCUUAAAUUUAAUAUUAAUUUUUUUUAGCUGUUGUUCAUAAGGCAGCUUUAAAAUAUAAAAUACCUUAUUUUAUAUUUGUAUUGUAAUAAAAGCCACUGAAAGACUAGGAGAAGACACACAUCUGUAAAUGAUUAUAUGAUCUGGCAUCAAUACCUCUCAGAAUUUGUCUUGUGCUGUUUCAUAUUUUGAACUUUCACUUUGCAAUUACACUGUCCCUCUGUCAGGCCUGGCAGAUCAUGCUUCAUGUGCAUGAGGUUUAACUCUGACUUCCACUUCAAGGAUACUAAGUUAUUUUUUGUUUCUUUAGCAUUUUACCCAUACCUGAUUUCACUAAUGGCUUAAAAAAAAAAAAAAAAAAAAAAAAGUUUCUGCUUUUUUUUUUUUUUUUCCCUGAUAAAAAGGUCUAGAUCUGUAUCAGUAAAAACAUAUUUACAUAGUUAUGCUGAAUAAUCAGUAGCGUCAGCCUCUUUGGAAAAGAAUCAAAAUGAUGUCUUUCCAAAUGACACAGAUCAGCAAUGCUUCAAAAGAAGAAUUUGUUGAAUUUCUACCAGGAAGUUUUCUCAUGUCUCUCCCACUCCUUAAAUCAAAUAUUACACAGCACCAAAGUAUGUCAGCCCCAGCAGUCCCGUAAGAUGAAAUGAAAAGCGUAGUUAUCUGCAGAACCUUCAAAACACAUGAAAAAGAAUUCAUGGUUGAGGUUGUUCAAAGGAGGCUAAAGGAGAGGAGGUGGAAGCAGUUGGGUGCAUCCUGCCCUGAAAAUCCUCAUCUACAGGUUGCAGUACUUUUGAUAAUGAUAUUACUCUAUCUUCAGGAGCAGAUUAAUUAUGUGCAGUUCCCAAAAAGAUUUCUUGUACUUACUUUUUUACUGCAUCCGAAGUGGAGAACUGACUGGAGACCCCACGGCCAUCUGAUUUCACCAGUAUGCAAAGAAUAUUUUGUACCAUGAAUAGUGUUUAUCUUAGAAAAAGAAUGAUCUACAUAAGGGAAUGUUGAUUUUCUUAGAGCUGCUAUCAAUUUUUUAAUUUAAAAUAAUACUUCUCUUCAAUUUUUAUUGAUAACUGUCAUCAACUGCAUAUGCAGAAUGGGUCAGGUUGUGUAGAUUUUGAAAAAUUUUACUAAGUGUGAAAAGUUUUGUGGUUUUUUUUUUUCUGUGGCCUAACACUGUACUCUCCAGCUCAUUAUCUGAUCUCCUGUUGUCAAAGCCAAAGAAUAUCCCAUCAGCCAUUUUUCAUUGCUCCAACACAUCUACAUUUUCAUGUUCUUUCUUCCCAUUAAUGCUUUUUUGUUGUUGUUGUUGUUUUUUUUCCCAAAGAUAUGAUAUUCUCACACACUUGAAGUUCAGUCUCAUUCACAUUUUUAAUGUCUCUGAUUUUCUUCUUAUUUUAUUUCUGAUCAUCUGGUUUCACUGGUGGUGUUCACUGCUCACUCCUUUCCCCCAUAUCAUUAAUGAUGAUACUACAACUGGAAAUAAUUUAGCACUCUCAUGCACUUGUAGUUGUGUUUGUGAUACAUAUGUAGGUGAUAUUUACUUCUCAUUGGAGCUUCUUCAGUAGGAGCUGUGACACCAACACCAGUAAGUGUUGGCUUAAGUCUGACCCAUAAAUUAUCUGUUUCCACUUCUUUUAGAAGUAUGUUUUUACAUUGGCUUGUGGGCAAAGUAAAAGCCAACGAAACAGCACUCCUUUGUCUGCCUACCUCUGUCUUUCACAUGUAGACACAGCCCUUUUCUGACUGACAUAUGUGAGCAGGUGAUGGAGACAAGAGGCAGACUGUAGAGACGGUUGUAACUUUAUACUCUAUUUAUCCUACUUCUAUUCUCUCUUAGCUAGGUCCAGCAUGAAGCUCCAAAACUUCUAAACCCUGCAGAUAGAUGGUCUUCAGAAUAUGCAGUGGAGUUUAUCCAGUUUAACUCAGCCCAGCUGAUGCCAGCAGGUGGAGUUUCGCUGUGAGGUUUGUAAAGCUGCACCAUUCCCACUGGUCACUGAGGUCCUAACCAGUGCACUGCUGUGUGCAUGAAGUCCUGCUCUUAUCUGCUCAGUCUGGUAACUGAAAGUGCAAAGUGGCAAUUAGGUUCACCAUUAGCCCAUCAGCAAGUGCACAUUCAGGAUCAGAUCUACGUUUUGCAUGCCCAAGGCUGAGAGGUGCCAAUGGCUCUCCGUUACUGCUGGACAAGCAGUUAUGAAAAGUUGGCAUCCACAUAGAUCCGUGGCCGUGACAUGAGGAAACCUCCGCCACUUUGGCAAACAGCAUGCAAGUCCAGCAUAGGCCAUGGUGGAUAAUUGUAUUGUCCUCAUCGGGAUUGUAACGGGGCUACCAGAUGAAUAUCCAGCUGCUUCCAUCCCUUUGAAGGAACAGUACACAAACCUGCAGCCUUAGCUCCCACCCUUACUACGGAAGGGGCUCAGCAUUCAGUCUGUAGGCAUAGCAGCAGAUUGGCAAGGUGACAUAACAACUAUUUGCAAGUCUACGUGCUGUCUGAAGUUACCAAAGUAAAUUGCACAGCAGUCUGCUUGGUAGUCCCUAAGAAGAUAAAGUGGUCAGUGCUGCUCUGCUUUGAAAAUAUCAGCCCUGCUUUGUGCAGAAUAUUGCAGACUGGCUGAAAUGUUGCCCAAGCAACAUCCACUCUUCAGCUGUACUUCUCACAGUGGCUUAAGCUGAAGAAGGAACAAGACCCAAGGAAGUGUUUGGAAAUCUCUCUUGCAUCCUCCCAGUCUGAGACCAACCAGAGCAGCUCCUGUUUGCAUUGGAUUUGUACAUCGUUGUCAUUGGAAGAAGAAACAUUCCAGUGUGAGAGGGAUCCUCAGCUGGCAAAGCUGUAUCUAGCAGAGGGCUUUGAACAAGCCCCGUGCAACUGAGAAAGAUGUUGGCUGAAAUGAACUGGAGGUCUUCCUCUUUAAUAUGGAUGUUAUGCUUGGUGCCAUGCAGACAGCGCUGGCAGGAGGACGAUUUCAGUCUCUGCUACAUCAAUAAAAACAAGGGGUUGUUUAAACUUGGCGUUGACACAAAUAAAAUAAAAACUGAGCUGUUA
ensembl:lncRNA